AAGAUUGAUAAAGAAUUUAAAGAGGUUGGUGUUUUCUUUGGUUCCUGGAGAAGCUUCUUGCAAAUGUAGUUGGUUAAUGAGGAUUGUUGCUCCUCCAAUCAUUUUAGCCCAAUGGUGCCAGUGACUCAGUUGUCUACAAUUUUCAAUCUAUUGUAUUCUUAAUAAAUUCAAAAUGCUAUUGUUACAACUUUUUGCAAGUUUCUAAAACUCCAAAUAUACUUUUUUUUUUCAUAUAUUUAUUAUAACAAGGGAAAUGAAAAUUUGUAAUCUAGUAUGUUUUUCUAGGUUCCUUAUGCAAUUUAUAUCUUCUGGUAUGUUGACAGAGGAAGUCAAAUGGAGCUGCA
rnacentral:misc_RNA from 1 species